rnacentral:rRNA from 1 species
ACAUGCCUACAAAAUAGUGUUAAUACACUGGAUCCCAUUAGAAAUCCAUAGCUAAGCGCACUUGGGCUAAUGUGGUACUGGUUUGGGUGAUGGUAUAGGAAGUCCUAUUAUUUUACAUGCC